rnacentral:lncRNA from 1 species
GCCUACGUCAAUUUCCGUUGCGUUUCUUACUUAGUUGCUACUAUAAUUUAUUUCCAUUAAUCAAUUAAAAAAGAAGAAAUAUUGAAUUUCUAAAUCUCUCGUAGAGACAUGUACGGUGGUGGGGCGAUAGAAUGGUUGUAUACUGUCAAUCUAACAAGAACGUGACAGUAGGGGGUACACCACCGCUGUAUAGCCCUAGGAAGCAUCGAACGCCUCCUGAUGGCUUUGACACAUUUUUCCCUGUGUCCUUAUAUACAUUUAUAUACCCCCUACUGUCACGUUCUUGUUAGAUUGACAGUUUACAACCAAUUAAAAAAGAGAAUUGCACAUAAAUUUGAGUUAGAUUCGUUUCACUUGAUAUGAUCCAAGCAUUAUAAAUAAGAUGUGCUUGUUUAGAGAUGACAUAUAAACUGCUUAGUAUUUCGAAUUUUUAAUACAAAAGGAAUUCCUUUUAAAUGAGAAGGAAAACAUAUUUUGAAAGAUGGAUAAACUGUAUACUGGCGUUAUGUUUUGCUACUUCUUCAGAAUUCGACACUGAAAAAAAUAUUUCAUGCUAUAACAAUAUAUCGUCUGCGCUUAAGGUUACGUCAUAGUUACACUCAUUCCUUCUCUUCCUGUUGUCGGCUGCCUAAGUGGAACACAAGGACCGCAUAGAAGCAUUAUACAAUCCUAGAAUGUCUACAGAAUUUCUCAAGUGUGCUGUUUCGUUAUUUGUAACAUAUUCUGUAAAACGAAAAUGAAGUAAAUUUCAUUAAUCUUAAUAAUUACAGGUAUUAGUGACACUCGGGUGGAAUCCUCGGAUCUUUAUAAAAAUUGAAGUAUAUUUAUAUAUAUAUUACUGAUUUCGCCUGCCCCACAUACACACUCUUACUCAGAGACACGCAAACGCAUAUAUGAAUAUGUCUGUGUUGCAUAUAAUCAGGUUAGUGCCCCACCAAAUUUGUUUCCUCAUAACGUUUCUAGAAAAUACAUGAUUAUAAUUUUGCUUCUAAUGUUUUUUCCAUGGUCAGGGAAAAAGGAAAUUUGGAUCAUUCUCUCCUCGAUUUUUUCCACUUGUAUGACUAUGUAAUAAAAAGUUUGCUUUCCAACCAUAUGGUUCCAGGUUCAGUCCCACUACGUGUAUCCUUGCGCAAGUGUCUUCUCCUAUGGCCAUGGGAUGACCAACGCCUUGCGAGAGGAUUUGGUAGAUGGAUACUGAAAAGAAACCUGUCAUAUGAUUGUGUGUUUGCGUGUGUCUGAGCGUGUACUUGUGACUGUGUUCCAUACUACCGCUCGACAACCUGCACACUUACAUACACGCACACAUAUAUGUAUAUAUCUAUAUGCAUAUGUAUAUAUGUGUUUAUAUAUACACAUACGCACACACACACACACACACACACACACACACACACACACACACACAUAUAUAUAUAUAUAUAUCGUCGGUAUCCGUCCGUCUCGAGAGACGAUGGUGUAGCUCGGAAAAGGUGGUGGGUCUAUCUGCACUUCCUGGUGUGGCUGUGCAGACCAAUCACCUUUUCCUGUUGAGCUACAAGGCCUAAGCAGGUUUAUAUGAGGGAUCAGCUGCUGUCCAUGCAGUUUUAUCCCCCCCUCUCCACGCAGCUGGUAGCUCCAAGGGAACGACUGGUCGAUACAGCUUGGUACCAGAUGCGUCGCAGGAGUUGCCGGUGAUGACGUGUUGUGUCAGGCCGUCUUAGGGACUCCAGCUCCAGAUUUUCUGUCGGGGGUUACUCCCUUAGCCUUCCCCAUGAGGGGGUCUUGCGGCAAGGCAGCGGAGGUUUGAAAUCGGAGUUUCCCUCUCCUAGUUGGGCUGCCAGUCAAGGCUAUCGAGUCCCAACUACCCGAAGCAACUCGUUUUAAGGCGCCAGUGACUCGCCUUUGCCCCUUCUCCUGUCAGUGGGAACAGUUUCGCCGCGGGAAGGCCAGGAGUUGGACUUGACUGUCAGAGGCUAUUUGAGACGCACGUCGUAGGAGCACUUUGUAGGCAGUGGGAUCUUACCCCUGCUACCACUCCCGGCUAUGACAGCUUUUGAAACUAUAUAUAUAUAUAUAGAAAGAAAGAAAGGUAGAUAGAUAGAUAGAUAGAUAGAUAGAUAGAUAGAUAGAUAGACAGACAGACAGAUAAAUAGAUAGAUAGAAAGAUAGAUAGAUAGAUAGAUAGAUAGAUAGAUAGAUAGAUAGAUAGAUAGAUAGUUGGUCGGUAGGUAGGCAUACCUUUACAGCGAGAAAUAGCGGGUGAGUGUGUGUGUGAACUUCCAUAAAACAGAAUCAACAAAGUGAAAAUUAAUUUUCUCCAAUGAUAUAUAAACGAAGUUUCAUACAUUUGAUGCAUUUGUUUGAUAUUCAAAUUUAUAAAUUGGUAGCCUUUUACAUUAAAUCAUCUUUCGUUUCAUAUGUGCAUCUAUGUAUUUAUCCGCCAUAGCUACACUGUCAUAUCCUCCGCCUUCCCCUCUUGCUCACCCUCCUCCCUCCUCUUCUUCUGCUUCUCCUGCAACUCCACUCCUCUUGCUCCUUCUCUACCUACUCCCCGUCCCCCCCAUCUUCUGCCAUCUCUAUGACCUUUUUUCUCUCUCACUAUGUAUGUAGCAUUAUUUCACUCAUCGCCUAUCACCAAGCAUCUAUUCUGCGCAUCUUAUGUUAAAUCUUUCUGUAUGUCUCGUGUAGUCAACUCCUACCAAUUUUGACAACGAUGAAACAACAACUAACCGACACACACACAUACAUACAUAUCACCGAGGCAUUGGAAGAAUAAUAAAUUGGUGUAGAAUUGAGUAUACUCCAGAAGGAAGCGUUGCGUCUGUUGACUACAGAGCAGUAAAAAAAUAUAAAAUGGCAAAAGAAUGAACCAUUAUCUUAAAAACCUCAUUACCUCAAAGCUGUUUCUGCCAUGAAAUGCCGCGGACUCAUCAUUGCUUUAAGAUAAUAAAGUUCAUAAGAUAAUCAGAUAAUGAUUCAUAACUUCGUCGUCUUUUCUUAUAAAUAUAUGUAUGUAUGUAUGUAUGUAUGUAUGUAUGUAUGUAUGUAUGUAUGUAUGUAUGUAUGUAUGUAUGUGUGUAUGUAUGAAUGUAUGUAUGUAUGUAUGUAUGUAUGUAUGUAUGUAUGAAUGUAUGUAUGUAUGAAUGUAUGUAUGUAUAAAUAUAAGAAAAUAUAAAGGUAUAUAUAUCGAUUAUUAUCAUAUGAAAAUAUAUACAUACCUUCACAGGCAUUGACACACACUUAAAUACACACACAAACAUUUGCAUGUAGGUGAGCCUGUAUGUAUGUAUAUCUAUAUAUGUGUGUGUAUAUAUAUAUAUAUAUAUAUAUAUAUAUAUUUUUGCAUGUAUGUGAUUGGAUGUAUAAAUAUGUAUGCUAUGAUGUGUGUGUGUGUGUGUUGGAGAGAUAAUUAAAGAGAAAGAGAGAUAGAGAGAGAGACAUAUAGUGAUACUAUUGAAUUAUUAUUACAAUUCACACUUUAUUCUGAAAAGAAUUCACUCCGAAUGCUUAUAUUAUUUGGAUAUUAUGCCCAUAAAAACAGAUUGCUUAAUAAGUAAGAGACUAACAUUCGUUCCAAAUUUUGGCACAGUGCCAUGAAUUUCGGGGAAUAGGGCAAGUGGAUUUCAUCGACCCUGAAAGGGCGAAGUGUAAAGUUAACCUCGGCGGCUUUUGCACUGAGAACGUAAAAUCGGAAGAAAUGCCGCUAAGCAUUUUGUCCGGCAGUCUAACGAUUCUGUCAGCUCACCACUUUGAAGCAAAGAAUUAAUACUGAAAUGCGCAAGAAAAAUAAAAAAAACGAAGAAGAAAAACAGAAUCAUAUGAAUUGUAAUGAAAAUUACGGAAAAUCGAAAAACACCGCCAUAAAAUUGUUUUCUAUAAUUAUUUUAGUAAAAGUAAUUUUAGUGCAUAAACAAAUCAGAAAUAUUAACUGAAAUAUAAACUAAUAGCCACAAUAUCUUAUUUCAUAAGUAAAUGUCUUCCAUAUUUUCUAUAUCGGUUUAUUUAUGUGAUUUUAUAGAUAUGCAGACAUUUACAAGCCUGUAAAUAUGCAAACAUAAGCUUAUAAAUAUUUGGCGUAUCAAAAGUAUACGACAUUUUUUCCAUUCUUCUCUUUUGAUAUAAAAUUACUCUGCAAACCGAAUUCACCAAAAAUUUCAAUCGUUAUGUAUCUCAUAUUUAAAAUAAAACUUCUAUAUACAUACACAUUGGAUUAAAGUUAACGCUCAGAUGUACAUAUAUAUAUACAUACAUACGUACAUACAUACAUACAUACAUACAUUCAUGCAUACAUAUAUACAUACAUACAUACAUACAUACAUACAUACAUACAUGCAUGCAUGCGUACAUACAUACAUACAUACAUACAUACAUUCAUACAUACAUACAUACAUACAUACAUACAUACAUACAUACAUUCAUACAUACAUUCAUACAUACAUACAUACAUACAUACAUACAUACAUACAUUCAUACAUACAUACAUACAUACAUACAUACAUACAUACAUGCAUGCAUGCAUACAUACAUACAUACAUACAUACAUAUAUACAUAGAUACGUUUUCUCUCCGUUUUCUCUCUCCGGUUUCUCUUUGUCGAAGAGCGCAGGCUCUAGACUUCAAAGACUCUGUCAUUCUUCCUGAGCGCUAAACGAAUACACAUACUUGUAGUUCCUUCAUCUGUCUUCGUCAUAUACUUUCUGUAAAUUUGAACUAUAUAUAUAUAUAUAUAUAUAUAUAUAUAUAUAUAUAUAUAUAUAUAUUAUAUGUUCGUUUAUAAAUGUUACGCAUAAGAACUUGCGGAAAACAUGUCUACACAUUAAGUGUGCUAUAUAUGUAGUAAUAUUAAUCUGUGUAAAUGUAAUAAUUCGUAUCUAUUUUAAUGGAUCUCACCUGAUCUGUUUAAUAACACCAGACAGUAUAGUCCUACAUACCUUUUACACACCUUUUCAUUAUUAUUUUUUGGGGUUUUGUGUUCACUUAUUGGACUGGAGCCACGCUGGGGUACCAUCUUGAAACGUUUAAUCGAACAAAAUGACCUCAGUGAUUACUUUUUAAAUAUGGUACUUACUCUAUCGGCACUUUUGCGGAACCUGAGAAUUACGAGGACGUAAAAAUAACCAGCUCCGGUUUUCAAAUGGCUAUGGGGAUCAAAGGUAAACGAUGAGAUACACAUGCAUAAACACCACCCGACACACACACACAAAUAGGCAGAAACUCACGCACUCACAUAUACAUAUACACAAAUCACGGGCUUUCAUAAUUUCCGUCCAUAAAAUUUACUCACGAAACAUUGGUCGGCUAUAGUAAAUCAUAGUAGACUAAGGUAACAUGUAGUGGGAUUGAACCCAAAAGAUUUGAUCGUAAAGCGAAUUCAUAACCACGUAGAUAUGCCUUAAACAAAAGACAAAAUAACGAAUCACUGCUACUAAAAUGUCUUUGAGUAUAUAUUGGGUUGUCCGGAAAGUUCGUGCCGAUUUUUAAAGGAAAGAAAAAGGUCAAUAAAUACUUGCCAUUACAUUUUUAAUCAACCAAAUAUGAACCAUUUUGUUCCACAUUGCGUCUCUAUCUUUCCUUUAACUUGAAAAUACCCUCUUCCCAGAAUUGAAGUGGUUUCAUGGCAAAUAAUUCAUCAAGGUAUCUUUUUACAUCAUCCAAGGAAUUGAAAUUUUUACCAUUAAGACUAUUCUGCAGAGACCUGAAUAAGUAGAAAUCCGAAGGAGCAAUAUCCGGUGAAUAUAGAGGGUGGGGUAACACAUCCCAGCCGAGCUGCAGCAAUGUUUGUCUGCUUCCCAAAGCAUAAAGUGCUGAAAAUGAACUUUCUUAUCUUCUAUUUUAAAGGGUUAUAGAAUUAACACAGGUUAUAGGAACAUAAACAUUCUUCCACGAAAAGAUAGCUUAAACUGUGCUCUAAAUGGAGGUGUAGUCAAAUCCUAUUUUAUGGACUCAACCAUGUUCUAAAAUAAGUCGAAAGGUAAUCUACCAUAAAUCGGCACGAACUUUCCGGACAACCCAAUAUUUUUUCAAUCAAAAUUGAACUAGAUCUAUGCGAAAACAACAGCUUCAAUAAUAUUUUGUAAUAGUUAAGAAUAACGAAUGAAAAUAUAUACAACGACAAUUCACAGAUUGUUUCAAACAUCGCAUCACGCUCCUCAUCAGAAACGUGAUGCAAUGAUAACCAACGGAGUUUAAGUUAAAUAAUCAAUUUUCAGUUAAUGGUGUCUCUUCCAUUUUCCUGAAAAUAUUUUCCCACUCACGAUGCUAUGUCACGUGCAACAUUUUAUAAAGUGUAUCUUAUAAGAAAGCACCUAAGAACAGUCUACAAUAAAUACUGAAUCAUAAACUCCAAAUCCUUCAUGAUUAGAGAGAUAAAAUUUAUUCUGACUGGCCACAAUUGCAUAGCUUGCUAGGUGGAAAAUUUGGACCUUAACAGAGAAUACUCGAGCUAUGUGCAAAAUUACUAAUAAACUUCGAUUGAUCUGUAAAAUUUGAACAACAUAUGAUUUGUUGAUUGAAUUAUCUGGUAAAUUAGCGAAGCAUAAUAUGAUACUUCAACCAAAUAAUGCAUUAUAUUAUUCGUCUCAGAAAUUACGGAGUUAUUUUGAGGAAAUCAAUAUUAUGUUAAUAUGGCUUCUAAAUGUGUCGGGCUUAAAUUUCAUUCAAGACAUUUGUCGUAAAAUUUAAAUAGCUAAUUACCAAAGUGAAAUCACUAAAUAAACAUAAUCUUGUCAAUACAUUUAAUGAAAUCUGGAAUGUUCUGUUUUAAGAUCCAAUUUGUCAAAAGACCGAGGAAAGUAAUUAAAGCAAGGGAUUUUUUGAUUGAUUAUCGAUUUUUCUAGAAUUAUUUAAUUGUCUAUAUUUUAGCUUAUUUCUUUAGAUUUUGUCUCAGUUCCUCUACACAUAUAUUUACAAUACUAGAAGCAAACAGAUACCUUAACGAGCCAACUACAACUCUUCCUAAGACAAAACAUUCUGCUUAACACUCCUAUCUGCUAAAUAAACUUGACUAAAAAUUGCGUAACUUUAUUCGGAAGCAUAUUUCAUUCACUACGCAUGCGUGCAUUAAUGAAGGAAGCAAGAGCACUUUUAGAUUAUUAAAAAAAUUGUCUGAAACGAAAGGUAGUAAAAGGCAGAGCCUAGGUUUUCAGAAUUCGACUUUAAUGGUGUUUCUGUAUAUAUAUUUGACAUAUACUUAAUAAAAUCAUUAUUGCUACAUCUAAAAGAUGUAUCCUACGAAGCAACUCAAAAAUGCAACCUGUUAUACACAUGAAAUAGCCAAAUUCUUCAAAGCACAGAACAACGUCUAAAGCCAUACUUCUAGAACAUACACAACAAAUGAAAAAGCCUUAAACCACCAUAGAAAGCAAAACAAAAAUAUAUCGUAGAAAAACAAGACAUAAAACUAGUGUCCAGUUAUAUGCAACACAAUAUAGAGGUGACUGCCUGGCAGUGACUUCUAUAUUGAGCGCUUAGUACCGACAUCAGAACAACAACCGCAACAUCAACAUGUCACACAACACCCAUUACUAUAAAAACCUCAUAAGUAAUAUACACGCUGCAACACGACUUACUUUCAAGAAUCAGCCACAACAAAAAAUAUAUGUGCAAAAAUUUGGCUAGGCUUAAAAGUCAUAUGAGGGCAUCGCAUGGCAUCAAUAAUAAAGCAUUUCAGUAAGUCUUUUUGGCAAUGGCUUUUCUUGUGUAACGAAGGUGCAGCUAUGAUAUAUAUAUAUAUAUAUAUAUAUAUACAUCCCCUGCCCAAUUCAGGAUAACAGCAUAUAUGUACACUGCAACAUAAUUUCUUUUCCUCAACAGGCCCUGCCCUAUUUAAUAUCGUCCCGAAAGAGAUCAAAGAGGAAAAGGAUCCUAUCAACUUUAAACGGAGUCUGGAUAGAUUCCUCCAAGGAAUACCAGAUAAGCCACCCAUAAUUGGAUACAACUCACCCAACAAAAACUCACUACUUGAAUGGACCACAAAACAAAACUUGAACAAAAUUGACUUAAACAGGAUUUAGAUAAUCCUAUCAGGUGAUGCUAUUAAGUUAGACAUGGCCUGGACCAAUCUUUGGUCGAAACAUAUCUAAGUUUAUCUAAGUUUAUAUAUAUAUAUAUAUAUAUAUAUAUAUAUAUAAUAAUAAUAAUAAUAAUAAUAAUAAUAAUAAUAAUAAUAAUAAUAAUAAUAAUGAUAAUAAUAAUAAAUGGCAAGUUUGUGUGUUUAUGAAUUUACUUUAACUCCUCCGAGACUAUCCAACAGACCUUGAUGAAACUUGGCUUAUGCCCAUGCGGUCACUUAUGCACUUGAAAUUUUAAAAACAUUAAUUUUAUAUCAGCAUCGAUUUUUAAAAAAUCGUAAAAAUUCGACAUUUUUGGUACUAGCCACUGUGACAUCAACUUGACGGAAAAUGCCGAAAUUUAACGAAAAAUGUUUCAUGGGUAUAACCAGACAGCUUAUUAACGGUAAUCUAUUUACCAUUUGCUAAUAUUGCAUUUCAAUGCGAAUUGUUUUGAUUUGCUUAAGCUUAUUAUUUCUAUUCAUUGUUUUAAUUCGACAGCGUUUUAGGUUUUGAUUAGGUAAGCGGAUUUUAUUUCUCAAGCAAAAUUUAGACAUUUUGUACGCUAGCCGUUUUGACAUCAAUUUGACGAAAUCUGCCCCAAAACGUAAAACUUUGCCAUUUUACACACAUGCACAAAAGUGACGACGACACAGGUUCGCUACCAGACGCUGCUCAAUUUUUCGACACAUUGCUCCUACCCAUUAAUAUAGAUGUAAAAUUUUUGAAAAAUGUCGAAAUUUGACGAAAAAUGUUUCAUAGGUAUAAACAGCUAUCUUAUUAAAGGUAAUUUAAUACCUGGUACCUCAGCUAGUACAUACAUACAUACAUACAUACAUACAUACAUACAUACAUACAUACAUACAUACAUACAUACACACACACAUAUAUAUAAAUAUGUAUAAAACUAUUGCUUAACCAUUUUCUCACACCGUCUCCAAUCAAGGGAUCUAUAAAAUAUCCCGGAAACAGCUGUAAGACUUAUUUAUAAAUGUUCUGAAAUCUUUCACAACCUUGGAAUUUUAUCUCAUUCUGUUUAUAUAUAUAUAUAUAUAUAUAUAUAUAAAAAUUUAACAAUUAAGGAUAACUUCUUAAUAAGGAAUCUUAACAAGAAAUUAUCAGGUAGUUAGCGUGAAAAACCUCAUAAGAGAAAAAAAUUUCGAAAAUAAUUUUUUUCUUUUGAAAAUAUUAAUUUAUAUUGUAUAGAGGGCAUUAUUACACAUAAAUGCCUCACACUAAGAGGGACAUAAGUCAUUACUACCAAAAUUUUGGUAGUAAUGACUUAUGUCUCUCUUAGUGUGAGGCAUUUAUGUGUAAUAAUGCCCUCUAUACAAUAUAUAUAUAUAUAUAUAUAUAUAUAUAUAUAUAUAUAUAAAUGGAGAGAGAGAGAGAGAAAGAGAGAUAGAUAGAGAGAGAGAGAGAGAGAGAGAGCUAAACACAUACGAACACAUAUUUACACACAUGCAGACACGCACACUCAUACAUACACCCACCCACCCACACACCCACGCACUCAUAUAUACAUACAGAUGAACGUUUACCACACAGUUUCCGUCUGUCAUAUGCUCUCACAAAGCACUGGUUUUGCCGGGGGUGACAAAAGUGGAAAGAGCAAUAAGAAUGAUUGGCAAUGAUGAAGUGAGGAACAUGGGUGUAGACUUUGAAUGGGUAAAUGCAUCGUAAAUAUAAAGAUUAUAUAUAUAAAAAAGGUGAAACAUACAAUACUGUGAAAUAAGUGGAUUUGAAGUGAAUGAAAAUAAGAUAGGAAAAGUAAAAGAUUAAAGUAUACGAGUACAUUGUUGAUUAACUUUGAAAAAUAAGACAAAAUAUGACAGUAUAAAUUAGGAGACGGCAUAAUGAACCAGACUGUAAUAAAUGAAUUAAAUCUAUAUAAAAUAUUAGCGGUAGAGUUUGAUAAUAUCAAUGAAAUAAAUAUGUAGAAAAAUACUCUAACAAUUGAUAAAGUAAGACAGAUAAUGAAGCCGUAUGAUAAAUUUAGCUACUUUAAAUCCCUGUACAUACGGACAGAAUUAUGUUUUGAUAAAUUAAGUUAAGUAUAUAUACACUAAAAGAAAACUGUGACUUAGUUUUUGAUAAAAAUAAUAUAUAGUAUAUAUAUUUAACUACUAAGUUACAUGAAGAAAAAUGUAAAGAAAAAAUAUUGGAAAAUAUUUUAAUUUAAUCUGAGUAAACGAAGAACUUGUUUGAUGUAAAUAACAACUCCUAUCACAGACUUGUCUCUAAUUACAUUACGAAAACUUACAAGAUACAAAUUGUAGUAUCCUUAAUGAGAUUAACUUCCAAGGACAGAAAAAUCACUCAUAAUCUAAACAUAGAUGACAGGACUGAAAUGCUAAGCCCUAAACAGCCUCAAAUAACGUUGGUCGAUGAUGUAAACAUCAUAAACAUAAACGAUUUAUUCUUUUAACAAACAUCUUACAAAAACUUUGGAGUUUUUGGUAAAUAUUUAUUGCACAAAAUGUUCGCAAGAAUUAAACAGGCAUCAUCUUUUCGUUCAAUGCGUGUGAAUAAAUAUUUGGGUUGUUUCCUGACGUACAGUUCUACUGUUCAUUGACAGAUUUUCAACGGAGGAGUGCACGAUUUCUUUAGCUUAAGUAUGUGCUUGUAAUUUCGACUAACAACUAACCUUUCUAAUAUUUAAAUUUAUUUCCUUCUUUUUGGUUCACACUGUACUGUGUAUAAAAUAUGUAAAGUAUAAUCAAUGACGUGUUGUCUAAACAUCAAAUAUGCAAAAUUAUCUGGCAGGGUGAUAUUUUGAUUUUUCACAGCGUUAUCUAUGAGGAGAGUACAUUUUAAAAAAGGAUGAGGGAAGGAAAUCGGGUACUGCUCCAUCAAGGAUUGGUCAAUUGAGGAAGGAACCCUCCGUCAGUAGUCUUACCUACUUUUUCUCUGGUAUCAGAAGCAGAAUAGGAAUAUAUUUACCGUGUUAGAAAUUACUCUCGCGUGUAGGCCUGCUGUUAUAUAAAUGAACUGGGCAUAACACACACACACACAUACAAGUGUGUAUGUGCAUGUAUAGUAUGUAUGUGUGUUUGAAUAUGUAUACAUAUGUAUUAUAUACAUAUACAAACAUAUGUAAUAUAUAUAUAUAUAUAUAGAAAUUCGGGGUGAGUACUUGAUAAUUCUAAGCACCUGUGUAUGCCGUUUGGUGGUGUAGGUGGUGGAGUAAAUUGAUCAAAAUAAAAACAUGAUGCGAAGGAUUCAGCGGUACAUAUGUUUCGGGCCUUGUGCGCGGCUGAAGAAGGCCACAGACAUACAUUAUGCAUUGUUAUAAAUCUGUCUAAUAAAGGCCCGAAACAUAUGUACCGCUGAAUCCUUCGCAUCAUGUUUUUAUUUUGAUCAAUUAUAUAUAUAUAUAUAUAUAUACAUACACACUCACACACACAUACACACACACACACACACACACACACACACACACACACACACACAUAUAUAUAUAUAUAUAUAUAUAUAUAUAUAUAUAUAUAUAUAUAUAUAUAUAUAUUUAUGUAUGCAUUUAUAUGCUCGUACAAACACACAUAUGUAUCGUAAUGGCGAAUGCGGAAAACGUAAGUGGUAAUUUUAAUCUUCAUGUAGCUUAUCUGCGUUUCCUAAGCCAACUGGUACGUUUUUUCAGCAUCUGCUGUUUGUUGCAUGCUCUUGUGUAGUGGAGUCAUGCACAGGAAAGCAUGCUUCAGAAAAACAGAGAAUAACAGAAGGUUAGAUAAUCCUUUUGACCAUAGUCACAAGGCCUGAAGUUUUGGGAGACGGGGUUAUUCGAUUUCAUCAACCCAAGUAUUUUACUAGAAUUUAUUUCAUCGACUCUGAAAAAAAAAAUGAAUGGCAAAGCUGAUCUCAGAGUGAUUUGAAUUCAGAACGUAAUGAGUCGAAAUAAAUGUCACUUAGUAUUCUGUCCGGUGCCGUAAAGAGUCUACCAUCUUAUCGCUUCAUGGAGCGAGAUAAUAAAUUAGUGUUAUGAUUUAAGGCGGCGAGCUUGCAAACUCGUCGGGAUGCCGGAUAAAAUGCUUAAGGCAUUUCCUCCGUCUUCACUUUCUGAGUUCAAAUCUCUCCGAGGUCAAAUUAACCUUUCAUCAUUUCGGUAUCGAUAAAACAAGUAUCAGUUGAGCGCUCACUAGAAAUUGUUGGCCUUGUGCUAAAAUAAUGAAACAAGAGAGAAAAUAAAAUGAUGUGGCGUGAGAAGGCACGAUGUGGUAAACUCAGGCAUAUCCAGACGCUUUCAUACUAUUGCGUACACAAACACAGACAUACACACACAGAGACACAAACGCACACACACACACAUAUGCACGUACACACACACACUAUCUCUCUCUCUCUCUGGGUUUAGUAGGAGUACUAUGGAUAUAUUUUCAACUAGACAGAUGGAAGAGAAGUGCAUAGAUCAGGAUAUGAACUUAUACCAGGUUUUCAUUGGGAGAGAGGAGGGAGAUAAAGAGGAGAGUGGAGGGAGAGGAAAGGGGGGUGAGAGAGGGGGAGCGAGAGAGGAGAGAGUGAGGUGGAGAGAGAUGAUGUGGCGAUGGGGAUUGAAUAGUCAAAAAUGCAUUUUUUUCAUUGCACUAAGUUUUUUUUCAUCUUGCCUGUCACUUAACGCAUGCGUAUAAGUGUAAAUCCGUGAAAUAUUUGCGCUUGUUUACGUGACAAAUGUAUACAAUUUAACUAAAGGUUGUAUAAUAUGUACGGAAUAUUUUUUUGGUUUGCUUAUGGGAAAAAUGGAAAAAUAAGAUUGAAUAUUUAUUAUAUGAGUGCGGUGUAUGAAGUUUAUAAAUUGUGCAUAAAGUGUGUGUAUAUAUAUAUAUAUAUGAAGUGCAUAAGAUACUCAUCGUAUUCUAGUUGACCCGAGGUCAACUUUGCCUUCAUCCUUUCGGGGUCGAUAAAUUAAGUACCAGUUACGCACUGGGGUCGAUGUAAUCGACUUAAUACCUAUGCCUGUCUUUGUUUGUCCCCUCUAUGUUUAGCCCCUUGUGGGUAAUAAAGAAAUACGUAUUCUAGUUUCUGCCAUUUUUCUAUGAGUAGCAGAUGAGCGACUAUCAUUCUAUACAGACACAACACAGGAUACACAUUCAGGUUUUUGGGAUAAAGUUUUCAGAGAUAAUCCAUUAGCGUUACCAUUAAUUCUGUGAAAUAUACAAGGCUCCCGCUAGUAUAUCACAAUUCUACAUAGCCAUAACAGGGUCAAAUAUCACUUGUUAAUAUCAAAUUUUAAGUAUAAUUCACAGUAAUUCUGAGGUUCGAUGGUGAUACAGAGUAAGAAAGACAUACUUAUUUAACAGUGAUAAUGAGUUUUGUAUACAGUGUCCAUUUGAUAUAAGUUCUUGCAUACUUAUGAGGUCUUUAUCUGCUUCUAAUGUAUUUUAAAUGUUUUAUUAACUUCGCUGUGAACCGAAACUAAUCCCGAGAAUCGUCAAAUAUAAGGAAUGAAAUAUGAAAUAGAUAAAUAGUGAAUAUAUAUAUAUAUAUAUAUAUAUAUAUAUAUAUAUAUAUAUACAUAUGAAUGCCUCACCAUUUUCUCUCUCUUUCUAUUUUCACAUAUUUUUUAAUACUGUUACCCCAAACACUACUACGAAGUUCUAGCCAUAACUCUACAGAUAACAACAGGUAAUCGAAACUGUGCCGGUGCUUUACUCAUCAUCUAUUUAUACAUUUUGUAUAAUUUUUCCAUGAUAUAUAUAUAUAUAUAUAUAUAUAUAUAUAUAUAUAAAAUAUAUACAGGGUGAGGAAGCAAAAUUUACAAUAUUUUGAGGCAGGGAUUGAAAGACAGUGUAUGACCAAUUAUUUUAUUGAAAGUUAUGAGAAUUUAUUUGCCACAAGAAAAUUUACGUAAUAGAAAAUGUUUUUAUUCUGAUAACAACAGGUAAUCGAAACUGUGCCGGUGCUUUACUCAUCAUCUAUUUAUACAUUUUGUAUAAUUUUUCCAUGUAUAUAUAUAUAUAUAUAUAUAUAUAUAUAUAUAUAUAUAUAUAUAAAAUAUAUACAGGGUGAGGAAGCAAAAUUUACAAUAUUUUGAGGCAGGGAUUGAAAGACAGUGUAUGACCAAUUAUUUUAUUGAAAGUUAUGAGAAUUUAUUUGCCACAAGAAAAUUUACGUAAUAGAAAAUGUUUUUAUUCUGUGUCCUCCUUCUUUCUCAAAAACUGCCUUCACACGCUUCCUGAAACUUGUACAAGUGUUCCUCAAAUAUUCGGGAGACAACUCCCAUUCUUCUGUAAUAGUAUCUUUAAGAGAGUCGACAUUGCUGUGUGAUGUUCUAUUGGUAGCAUGUUCUAAAAUGCUCCAAAUAGCAUAAUCCAGAGGGUUUAGAUCUGGGCUAGAAGGCGGCCAUAAACAUGAUUCCCAAAAUUCUCUAAAGUUGGAUUUGGAGAAAUCUUGUAUUUUUCUGGCUGUGUGGGCUGGAGCACCAUCCUGUGUCCAUACAUAAUUACCAUCUGGGUAGUUUGCUUUAAGCCAUGGCAAUACCUGGUAUCUCAGAGUCUUGUAGUAAGUAUUAACAUUGAUCCUUUCAUCAGCUUUGUAGAAUUUUAUAGGCAUUUUCUUUCAAUCGGAAGCCACAACACCAAAAGCCAUAACUUGUACAGGAUGUUUUGUUUUGAAUGUCCCCUUAACCUCAGCUGUUGAUUUUGAAAUAAAUCUGUCAUUUCUGCGGUUCAGAACAGCAUCGACAGUGAAGAUCUUUUCAUCUGAAAAGAUUGUUACAAUGGAGGACUCUUUCUUGAACCAUGUAAUAAUUUUCUUGCACCUCUCCAAUCUCUUUUCCUUCAUAGCUGUUGUCAACAAAUGUUUUGGUGUUCUUGUGUAAGAUUUUAACCUCAAAUCAUAUUUUACUGCAUUUCUAAUGGUCUUCUUGUCUACCUCAAGUUCAAUUGCCAUCCUUUAGGAUUUUGGAUUUGAGAGCUUGAAUAAAAGCUUUGGUACGUUUUUUGAUGAUUCCUCCACUUCCAGACUUCCUCGUAAUAGUUUUGCUCAUAGUCAUUCUAUUCUUUACAUUAUAAACAGUCUUUAUGGACACUCCAACUAUCCUUGAAAUCUCCUUUGGUGUGACGAGUGCAUUCAGCAAAUCACACACUCUUUGACGUUUGCUUUCCUGAUUACUCAUAUGGGCAAAAGUUUCUGAAAAGGUAAGGAUAAUAGUGUUAGGUAUGAGUAUGACAUCAGUAUAUGCUAGGUUUCAAAACAAUUGACCUAGUGCCUCCUGAGAAAAAGCAACUUAACGUUCAUUGUAAAUUUUGCUUCCUCACCCUGUAUACAUAUAUAUACAUACAUAUAUAUAUACAUACAUAUAUAUAUAUAUAUAUAUAUAUAUAUAUAUAUAUAUAUAUAUAUAUAUAUAUAUAUAUAUAUACAUACAUAUACAUAUAUAUAUAUAUACAUAUAUUUAUAUUGAUUUGAAAACCCCACUAGAAUGGGAGAAAGCGCUAAUAAUCUGAACGAUAUGAUCUGAAUAUGAUAUAUAUAUGUAAAAAUGUAAUAUAUAAAUAAAUAUAUAUAAAUAUGAACCAUCCGAUCUUCUGAUUACCUCAUUUCUUCUAACAUAUAUAUAUAUAUAUAUAUAUAUAUAUAUAUAUAUAUAUAUAUAUAUAUAUAUAUAUAUAUAUAUAUAUAUAUAUACAUACAUAUAUAUAUAUAUAUAUAUAUACAUGUAUACAUAUAUGUAAAGAUAUGUAUAUGUAAAUAUAUAUGUAUGUGUAUAACAGUUAAAUUCCUAAAAAUAUAUUACUACACUAAUGUUUUAGGGUGUGCUUCUUUUGUAGACAUAUGAACAACUGACCAUAUAUAUAUAUAUAUAUAUAUAUAUAUAUAUAUAUAUAUAUAUAUAUAUAUAUAUAUAUAUAUAUAUACGCAGACACACUUCUAUUAAACCUGCAAAGGCUUUCACGAACAGUUCGUGAAGAAUUUUGCAGCUUUAAUAAAACCAUAUUAAUCCCCCUUCGGUAUUCGAGUACUAUUUUUUUGCAUUUCUAUGGUUACUUGCGCAUCUCUAUGCUUACUCGCACGCGCUUGUGUGUGAGAUGAAGAUACUGUAAAAGAUGGAAAAUUCAGAGAUUUCGGUUAUAGAGAGAGAGAGUAAGGAAGUAAGGUAAAAGGAAUAAAAACUGUUUUUGAUAUACUAAAGCUACAUUGCGCACCUUCAGAAUGCUUCAGAAUUCUUUGAAGACCAUUUGGCGUCUUGUCUUAUAAAAGUACAAGUUAUGAAGCCUAGAUUUUUGUUCAUAUAUUAGACAAUAUUAUUUUCUCACACACAGCAGAGAGUCAAAGGCGUUUAUACUCUAAGUCAGUCAGGUUUGAUUUUAAGAAGAUUCGCUGCUGUUUCUGCCAAGUCGGGCGCCACAUUAAUUGGUAUUGCAUAUGUUCAUUUGCACAUUGUCAAAAUAUACCAUAUAUCUAUGUUCAAAGCUGUGUGCGUAGGCUGUUUUCUUCGUGUAAGUCCAUUAAUUUCUUACGACGGAGCAAGCUGCUCUUACAGGGAGGCAGAUUAUAAUUGACUAAAGUGUCCAUAAUCGACAUUAGUAUUUGGCUGCAUACGUAUACAUACAUACAUACAUACAUACAUACAUACAUACAUACAUACAUACAUACAUACUUACAUACAUACAUACAUACGGGUAUAAGUACAUAGAUACAUACAUGCACGCUUGCAUAUAUACGUACAUAUAUACAUAUAUAUAUAUAUAUGUGUGUAUGUGUGUGUUUCUGAGUAUCUCUCCCUCUCUAUAUAUAUACAUAUAUAUAUAUACAUACACGCACACACACAUGCACAUAUAAUCAUGUAUUGAUUUCUAUUUAUGCGGUUUCCUUCUAUCAAACUAAUAGGUUUGGUAGAAUGCUACCUGCACAGACAGAUGUAUGAAUGUGUGUGUGUGUGUAUAUAUAUAUAUAUAUUUUCCUUUAUUCGUUUAUUUGCUUCAGUCAUUUGACUGCAGCCAUGCUUGAUCACUGACUUCAGUCGAACAAAUUGACCCCACGACUUAUUUGUUGUAAGCCUUGUAUUUAUUCUAACGGUCUCUUUUGUCGAACCUCUAAGUUAUGGGGAUGUAAACACGCCAACGUCGGUUGUGAAGUGAUGGUCGGGGGGGGGGCAAAUACAGACACACAAACAUAUAUAUAUAUAUAUAUAUAUAUAUAUAUAUAUGCGACAGGCUUAUUUCAGUUUCCGUCCACCAAAUCUAUCCACAAGGUUUUGGUCGGCUCGAGCCUAUAGUAGAAGACACUUGCCCAAGGUACCACGCUGUGGUUGGUUAGCAUGCUACUUACCAUACAGCCACUUCUGUACCCAUAUACAUAUAUAUAUAUAUAAAUGUAUGUGGGUUUUUUUUCCAGUAUUUACAAAUAACACAGAAAAGAUAAAUGAAUAGUUACCAGGGUAGCAAAAAUUCACACAAGUAACAAGGAUGUAGCUGCCUAUUUAUAAAAGUACAAACUCCAAGUUUAGGUGAAAUGUUUUGUAAAAUAUAGAUAAAUAAAUAAAUGGGGAUAAACGCAGGUGUUAUUCAAAUUAUUUUACUUCCGACAUAUGUUUCGAAGACAACAUUGGCAUUAUUCCCGAAGGAAUAAAAUGUUGUAAACAAUGCAAUCUUCUCAUCAGGGAACGAAAGAAACCAAACACAUCAAUAUGACAUUUUACCAGACUGUGAUGACUGCAUAUAUGAUGAAGGGAACCAUAUCAAGUUUUCUUUUAAACUGUUACUAUAUAUAACGUCAAAGGUAGUUUAUAGAAAGAGAUGGAAGAGAAAGAAAGAAAUUAGCAGAAAACUAAUAGUAGAGUGAUACAGAGCAAUAGGUGAAUUAGAAUAAAGCUUAAAGGAAUGGAAGUAGAUAUAUUUAGUGGAAGUGCAAUGUAAGAAUGGAAAAUGACAGAAACAGUUAUUUCACUUGGAAAAUUUUAGGAUAACUGGCGAAAUAUAGAACAAGAAAAUUUUUGCUUAAAAUAUUGCAACUAAGGAUAAAAUUUCAAAUAAAAUAUUUAGAUUCAGAAAUUAUGUAAAACUAUUAUUAAAACUAAAUAUUCUAUUACAAGUUAUUACUUCUAUUUGGUAUUGCUUGUUACAUCUAUUAAAAAUAAAAAAUAACUCAAAAUGUUUUCCCUUUCAAAAAAAAAAUAAUAAUAAUAAAAAAUUAAUUAAUAAUUAGAAAUUUGAAAAUAUGUUAUAAAAAUAAUAGUAGUACAUAAUUAGUUAGUACAACAAAUAGAAUACUACAAAAAUUAGUUAUAUAUUACAGUAAAAUCUACCCAUAACAACAAAUUCACACUAAAAUUUGCUUGAGCUAUUGUCUAAAUUAUUGCCAAGUCUUCAAAUUUUAGUCUUGACCCAAUACCCAUUUUGUACAUAAUGAAUUUGCCUUCCAUAUAUACUACUUUACUUUGCAUAAAACUUUAGCUAUAUUCUUUCCUGCUCUAGGCACAAGGCCCGAAAUUUUGGGGGAGGGAGCCAGUCGAUUAGAUCGACCAUAGCACACAAAUGGUACUUAAUUUAUCGACCCCGAAAGGAUGAAAGGGAAAAUCGACGGCCGAGGAAACCGUUAGCUAUAUUAGUACGUUUUUCAAGUAUUCUAGUGGGUCGAUAUUUUAACAAAAUGACGGUACUUGUUUUUUAAUUAUAAUGUUAUUUUCUAAAUUAAAAUUUAAUAUUCAAAUUUUAUCCUUAGCUGCAAUAUUUUAAGUAAAAUACUUUUUUGGUCUGUACUUUAUCAGAUGUAAUAAGCUGUGCUGAACUUUUCCAAGUGUAAAAACUUGCCCUGUAAUUCUUCAGAUUUAUCAUCUUGAGAAUAAUAUUCCUCUUGCCGGCAUUUUUCAUGUAAUCCAUGGUUUUUCCUGGUAUUAUGCUAAUUAAUAAGGUAUCAAAUAUGCCAAUUAGCAGAGUUGUUUAUAAUUUUUUUCCUUAUCUCAAUGACGCAGAUGACAUAUACGAAAAGUCCCAUUAUAAAACUAUAUUCAUAAAAAAAGUAUAGAACUAUAUUAUCACCCUCAAAUUUGAGAAAUAAACACUCAUAACUUUUUUCUUUUAAGUCUUCAUUGCAUAAGAUUGAUACCAUGAAAUUCCUCGAAUUGAGCUCUAUCAUAUAAGAUUAAUUAAAAUAUAGUUUGUUUUUAAAAUAAAAAUUUAAUUAUACUUAAAUCCAAAUUUUUGCCUUAUAUUUCCUUUCACGAUAUUUUAUCUUACAACGUUUUUGAUACAAACUUUUGCUGCAUGGUAACAAAACUAUGAAAUUCUUCACGCUUUCUUCUACGUUGAAGCUAAGGUAAAUAUAUUUACCUAAAGUUAUUUAGAUAUAAACUUGAUUGGUGGCCGUUAUAUACUCUCCUAUAAGGUUGCUACCAAUUUUGAUAUAAACUUUUUUCUACUGGAUCAAAUCACAAUUUUUUAGGCCAAAAUGUAGCUAGGGACCAGACCACUUCAAAACUUUUAACACCUUUGAAUUUGGUUAAGAACUAUCUGGGACAAGCUCUGAAAUAUGCUGCGUAUGAGUAAAUUGCGACCAUAAUAUUAUGCAAAUACUGCCGUAGUUACAUAUAUAUAUAUAUAUAUAUAUAUAUAUAUAUAUAUAUAUAUAUAUAUACAAACACACACACACAUAUAUAUAUAUAUAUGCAUUCUAUAACUGCUAAGCAUCCUUUGCUAAUGAUCAGAGUGUAAGAUUACAUAACUAUAUAUUUUAUGAAGAAAAAUUCUUCUUAUUGUAUUUUACAUGGUUUUGUGUCUAUAUGAAUGAUAUGAAUGUACGCAUAUUUAUAUAUAUAUAUAUAUAUAUGCAUGUAUGUAUGCAUAUAUGUAUAUAUAUAUUUAUGCAGAUAUCUGCAAGUAUACAUGUGUGUGAUGAGUGUGUGCUUGCAGGUAUGUGUGAGUGUGUGCGUACAUUCAUAUCAUUCAUAUAGACACAAAACCGUGUAAAAUACAAUAAGAAGAAUUUUUCUUCAUAAAAUAUAUAGUUAUGUAAUCUUACGCUCUGAUCAUUAGCAAAGGAUGUUUAGCAGUUAUAGAAUGCAAAUUAGAUGUUCAAAUUACAUUGGCAAUUCUGCUAGAUUAGCGCCAGUGUUACGAAACCAGCGAUAUAAAGAAAAAAAGAUUAUACACAUUUUUUUAGACAUAAUAGCAAUGUUGCAAAGAAACAAAUAAAAAGUCCUGAGUUGUGCAAUAAGCAAUCUCUCUAUAUGUAUUUUUUAAUUCUUAUUUUCAUGUGAUUUUAAAAUGAUUUUUUUUUUGUUUUGUUUUAGAAAGUUAUCUCGAAAUCUAUGCUUUAAACUUUGGCGAUAACAAGUAUAGAAAAAAUUGCUCCUAAAUUAAAUAUUUUCGUCUCAUUGAUCAUCAAAGUUUAUAUUUAAACCUUUAUUCAAGUGAUACACUCGAACCAUAUUCAUAAAGCCUCACCAUGAAUUUCAUUUCGUAAUUAGAAUCGCAAUUUCCAAAGUUUAAAACAUAGAGAUCAGAAAAUAUGGUGUUCUUACGUUGCAAUCUUCACCAAAAUAUAAAUAUGAAUAUUGUGUGUAGGUUCGUUUUAACUCAUUAAGAGCAAUAGGAUAUUCUAUAAGAUUUUUACCGUUAAAAACUACAAUGUUAAAUUGCUCUGUAGCAUAAAUUAAGGGGAGCGCCCAUGACCAUUUAUUUUUCAGGGCUUCUGUGACUGGUGGGAGGAAAGAGGAACUGAAUACCUGACCCGAAUGCUUGCAACAGUUUGAACUUCGUAAAAGGCCCAGAAUGAGUAGGUGGUGGUCUUAAACCGCAUGACGGAUUAAGUUUACCACACAAGAAUUCAGAAUGAAACCGACUUGAAGAAAUACGAUAAGGAAUUUUCGUUUGAUGUUCUUAAAAUUCCGUUAAUCCAACCUACGAAACAGGUACUUUUUAUCGGUCCUAAGAAGAUUAGAGGCCACAUUGACUUUAAUGGUAUUUGAACCCAGACGCCAUAGAACCUAAACAAAAUACUGCUAAUUUUGGCGUCUGAUACUUUAAUUAUUCCAUGAAUCCGUUUUCUUGGUCUGCUAUAGAAUUUUACUGAACCCUGUAGGUGAUAUUACCCGGAAUACAAAGUAUAAUUGAACGUGACAUAUUUAGAAUGUAAAAUACGAUUUUUACAAUAUCGUCCAAAGGAAUGAGACAAAUAUUUUUAUUAAAAAAAAGACACGCACAAAAUCAAUUUUUUAUUCAUACGAAACACAUUCAGAAAUAAUUUUCUAUAUUUCUUGAAAUGCACACGCACAUUCAAAGUUCGCAGUGUCAGUUCCAAUUUACACAUGUGAUAAUUCAAUGUGAUAACAGAAUAGGAUUCCUAACUUUAAAAGUUAAACAUUUACAAUAGAAAAGUUGCUCAAAUUAAGAAAAUAGUAAGCUCAUGUUUACAAACAAAGUUUAUACAUGGCAUCAGUUGAAAACAAUAGCGAUCUACACACGAUUCGAUUUACUGUAAUUGUUUAUCCAUACAUUAUUUUUCUAGAUUAAAGAUACUUUACAUACACGUGUAUAAAAUGGUCAGCAAACAUUAAUGCAAACUGCGAUCAAUGAGAUACUUUAAAAAAAAAUCAAACUUUAUGAAAAGGCUUCUUUAAAAAAGCAACUAAGAUUUAUCCUUGUCGAAUCUUCGUUUAUGUGUCCAACUGUAACUUUCUGUACAGAACAUACUUACAUACUUACAGCGAUAUAUAUAUAUAUAUAUAUCCUUGGUACUGUGAGUUUCAAGAGUGUGGCUUGUAUUCGGCAACUGGGGUCUGAUUAUAUAUAUAUAUAUAUAUAUAUAUACAUAUAAAAAUAGAUAUAUCUAUGUGGGGAGAAAGAGAGAUGCAGAGAGAGAAUGGGGAUAAACAUGUGGUAAUACAGUUCUAUAUUUAAGAGAUGAGGAAUGUGGUAGGAGUUAAAUGUUUUUGAGAAGUGAUUUAACGUUUCGAAAAUUGGUCGCUCAUCAUAAAGCAAAAGAAAAAUCAAAUGCGUUUUGAAGGGUAGUUAGGGUGAAAAAGUACGGGUAUAGAAAGAAGAGAAAAAGAUUAGGAAAUGUGCAAUCUUAACAAUUAUUACAAAGCUACAUGCAUUUAAAAACAAAGGAAACGGAGAAAAGAAUGUAUGAGGAACCUGAAAAAUCAGUGGACGGGAUGAGGACGGAGGAUGAGGUUGAUAUAACUUCACGUAUCGAAAUGGUUCCCAGUAUGGAAGCGGACGUAAAGUUUAAGGCUGAAAGCGUUUGUACAGGUGUGCUGUGUGUAUGUGAAUAAAUGUGUACAGGUGUGGAAGUAUUGCAGCGUUGGUUCGUAGAGUUAGGGGGAUGUUUGAGCGUGUGUAAUUUGUAGAUGGAUUGUGUGGAAGCAUGUAUAUAAGGCUGUAAGAGCAUAAGUGCAAGCGUGUACGUGUGCGCACGUAACUGUGCGACUGUGUUUAUGAAAAUGUUUUCCAGUUUCAGCUCUUGAGCUGUGGCCAUGCUGGGGCACCGUGUUUGUAUGUGUAUGCGUGGGUGUUUCUGCCUCUGUGUGUGUAUCUUUUAUCUUUAAACUUUUACUUGCUUCAGUCAUUGGACUGCGACCAUGUUGUGGUACUGUUUUGGAGAGUUUAGUCGAACAAAUCGACACAACUAUUUAUUUUUUAAGACUGUUGUUUAUUUUAUCAGUUUCUUUUGCGGAACUGGUAAGUUACGGGGACGUAGAUAGACCUGCACCGGUUGUCAAGCAGUAGUGACACACAUACACGUACACGUACACACACACGCACGCAUACGUACACUACUCUCGUUUAGCUCCUGUCUCCAAACCUCCCUCACAAGGCUUUAAUCGACCUCAGACAAAGGUUUCAUGCAAUGGGACUGAAUUCAGAGUCACAUGGUUUGGAAGCAAACAUCUUAUCACAGAGUUACACCUGGAUAAAUUUGUUAACAAAGCGCUGUAAUAUGGUGAAAUUUUGGUAAAAUAUAUAAUUUACAUGUGUGAAGGUGUAUAAAGAAGCCGAAGUAGGGGGUGGAAAUGGUAAUUUUUCUAGUCUCCGAACAUCAAAAAACAGGGGACGGACUAAAGAUUUUCGAAAUACUGAAAUUCGGAAAUGAGAGAAAAUAAUUUUAGAUGGUUAAAUGUCGUAUUAAAAAGAAAGUUUUUAGAAGAUAAUAAAAAAGUCCUAGAAAUUAGUAAACCUAUGAGAAAAUGGUAAAAGGUUCCUGCAGCUAGUAAAACUAGGGGAGAUAGAAAAGUGAGGGGAGAUAGUAAAGGAAACCUAAGACACUUAUAUAUACGUGCUGAGGGAAAUAGGAAAACUAGAAGGGAAGAGGUAUAAAGGUGAUCCUUCUUUUUUUAAAGAGAAGACAAAGGGGGGGGGGUAAUCGGAAACAACUAAGCGCAGGGGUUAUCUGACUGUAAAGUGAGCGGCGGUCAAGUAGAAGUGACUGUGGAAAUGAAAGUAACACGGGGGUAAACCAAAGGUUUGAAUCCAAAUGAGAGCCAAACAGUGAAAGAAUGUGUGAGUGUGUGUGUGUGUGUGUGUGUGUGUGUGUGUGUGUAAGAAAGAGAUAUAGAGUGACAGAGGGACGGAGAGAGAGAGACUGUGUAGAGUAAAGCUUGUGAGGGUAUGAAUGUGAGUAUGAUAAAAAGACAAGGUGGUGGUUGACUAGACAAGUGUUUGUUUGUUUUAUAUGGGGGGUGUAACUAUCCAGUGACUGGAAGAAUGCGUGAGUGUACUAGUGAGCGAGUGCAUGUAGGUAUGUGUGUGUGUGUGUAUGCGUGGGUGUAUUUGUGUGAUAUGUAUUCUGUUAUGUGUUUUUGUUAUUCUGUUGUUUGUCAGCCUGAUCCAGCAGAUCUGUGAUCGAAAAUAUUUCAGCUUAACGAUAAAGAUUAUGGUUUACAUCAUACCCAGAAUAAACCAAAUCUUCAUCUUCUUGUUAUUCAUGUUUUUUUUUUUUCUUUCAAUGGUUAGCUCGAAAAACCAAAAUGUUCAUUGCGAAACGGUAUAUUUAUGAUUCGAAGGAGAUGUGGUUACUGCUUUGUAGCAAAUCAAGCAACCAUAUGAACUAAAGUCAGUAUGUAUAUUUGAAAUGUCAUAUAUUCUACAUUAUGACGUUAUUGAUAUGUGAAUGUAAAUAUAAUAGUAUAUAUAUCGGAGUGUGUAUAUGCAUGUGUGUGUGUGUUUAAGAUAUUUUUCUAUUUAUAUCCAUUUUCACACGCUUAUUCACACACAGACGCACACACAUGCACGCACACACAUGCACGCACACACACGAAUUUAUAUGUAUAUGUAUAUGCAUAUGUAUGCAUGUAUGUAUAUAUGUAUGUAUGAAUGUAUGCAAGCAUACAUGGAUGAAUACAUGUAUGUAUGUAUUAGGUUGUCAGAUAAAUUCGUUCGUUUUUUUUUUAUCCACUUGGCACAACGUCAUACGUCUAAAAAGAAGUAAAAUUUAUUCAAAUUUCGAAAAUGAUAAAUAGAAUUUGUAGAGAAAGAUGACUGUUCCAAAAGCAAAAAUGGAAACAAAUAAAAAAAUUAUAAAUAAAAACAUUCCGUAAUAAAUAUUUUUCAAGUUAAUUCAAACUGCAUUGGAAAGGGUUAACAGAAAAAAUGGGUAAAAUACGAAACAAAUUUCUUUGCCAGUACAUAUGCGUGACGCACACGCAUACACACACACACGCAUAUAUGCACGCAUAUAUACAUGUGUGUUUGUGUGUGCGUGUGCGCGUGCGUGUGUUUGCUCGAGAGCGUUCGUGCGUGUGUAUGAUGAUGUGUUAACGUUCUUCAUUCCUCAGAGAAAAAUCUCUGAAAUAAAAAAAAAAGACUCUUAUUUCCUGACAGGAAACGUACAUCAUUUAUUGAAUUAUUCUUAGGUUUUAGUAGAACACAACCUUUUUAUCUGUUCACAGAAUUGUUGAUGAAAUUAUAAUUCCUGUUUCUUUGUACAGUGAAUAAAAUAUUCAGUUCCUUUCGGUUCUGAAACUUGCGGACUCAUCGAGUUAUUGGUUCUCAUCUAACUUCGCUCUUGUUAAAUUUUUUCUUGUUCUUUGCUUCAACAUCUGUUCAGAAAAAUAUACACAGACUACAUACAGACACAAGCAUGGAAACACAC